UGGAUACUUCACCGACGGCCAGCCAAUACGUCGGACAGAAGAAGAAGAUGGCGUGGGCGAUGAUAUGGUGCGGUGGAAGAAUACGGCGUGGGCGAUUCCGGUGAGAUAUGCCUCCAGCGACGCAAUAAUGUGAAGAUCCUCUCCACAAGCCAUACUCUUGCGUUGCAGCGAGAGGUCGUUAGAUUCGUCGUGCUAGACGUAGCCGUCGCCCACUUGCUCCACCUAAAGUUCCUCCUCCCCACCACGGGUAGAUGCCGGUGAGGCCAGCCUUCCCUGCACGUGCAGGUACUCCCCCGCCCCCUUUCCCUAUCUCUCUUCCCUGACCCCGUCUCUCGAUUGUACACAGAGAGAGACCCGUGGUGGCAGCACAACAGUGCUUCAGUGGAUAGGUUGUGAAAGAAAGUUCAGAUUAGGGACUAUCAUUCUCAUAGAGUCAUAGUAUGCUUUGCUGAGGUAGAUUUUUCAAGUUUACCAGGUUUAGUUAGGUUUUUGUACCCUUGUUGAGAUGGCAUGACACUGAUAAAUUUAUUUUGUUGACGUAGCUACUUUGUUCCCCAAUUUUACCGAUGCAUUUUAUUCUUAUAUCUACCUGAUUUCUUAACCGAUUCAUCUGUUGGCUUAGAUAGUACUUCAAAUUAUCCGGUGAUGCACACAUUUUAUUUCAAAAGAAAAUUUGAUUGAUUGAGGAGCUGCACACUAUCUCAGUUUGUAUAUGCUUUCAACGUCGAAAAUAAUUUAGCCAUGUUUAUGUUUUUUUGCUUAG
rnacentral:lncRNA from 1 species